rnacentral:rRNA from 1 species
GAUGAACGCUAGCGGCAGGCUUAACACAUGCAAGUCGAGGGGUAUAGUUCUUCGGAACUAGAGACCGGCGCACGGGUGCGUAACGCGUAUGCAAUCUACCUUUUACAGGGGGAUAGCCCAGAGAAAUUUGGAUUAAUACCCCAUAGUAUGUUAGAGUGGCAUCAUUUUAACAUUAAAGUUCCAACGGUAAAAGAUGAGCAUGCGUCCCAUUAGCUAGAUGGUAAGGUAACGGCUUACCAUGGCGACGAUGGGUAGGGGUCCUGAGAGGGAGAUCACCCACACUGGUACUGAGACACGGACCAGACUCCUACGGGAGGCAGCAGUGAGGAAUAUUGGACAAUGGGCGCAAGCCUGAUCCAGCCAUGCCGCGUGCAGGAAGACGGUCCUAUGGAUUGUAAACUGCUUUUGUACGGAACGAAAAGGACUGCCCUAAUACGGUGGUCCCAUGACGGUACCGUAAGAAUAAGCACCGGCUAACUACGUGCCAGCAGCCGCAGUAAUAC